rnacentral:lncRNA from 1 species
GCACCGGUGGGCACGCCUUCCUUUCGCAUGUACUCCAGCAGUCAUCUGGAGAUCAGGCAGAGAGCUCUGAGGCUCUUCCAGCAGGCAGCCCGCAAGGUGGUGAUUCAAUGUCGUGUGAACAACAGACUGGUCUCGUUGAGGCAGCUGACUCAAAGCUUGAAGCGCCUGUCCACAGGAGUAAGAGUUGAGGAGGAGCCCCUUCAUCCCCUGAAGAUCUCACCAGACAACGUGAUUCCUUUCACAUUCUGA